GAUGAAGAACGUAGUGAAAUGCGAUAAGUAGUGUGAAUUGCAGAAUUCAGUGAAUCAUCGAAUCUUUGAACGCACAUUGCGCCCUUUGGUAUUCCAAAGGGCAUGCCUGUUCGAGCGUCAUUUGUACCCUCAAGCUUUGCUUGGUGUUGGGCGUCUUGUCUCUAGCUUUGCUGGAGACUCGCCUUAAAGUAAUUGGCAGCCGGCCUACUGGUUUCGGAGCGCAGCACAAGUCGCACUCUCUAUCAGCAAAGGUCUAGCAUCCAUUAAGCCUUUUUUUCAACUUUUGACCUCGGAUAAGGUAGGGAUACCCGCUGAACUUAAGCAUAUCAAUAAGCGGAGGA
rnacentral:misc_RNA from 1 species